rnacentral:lncRNA from 1 species
CAUAAAGGAAAACCAGACCUCUAUUAGUACAUAAAUUAUAAAUACUAAAGACUUGAACUUUAGUCUAAAGUUUCUCCUAGUAUUUUUACGAACUGGUAGCCUCAACCUCCAAUUUGAGGAAUUACUUUAAUUCCUUAGUGGGUACUAGAAUCCACACAGACUACACACGAGCCCAACUUUGGUUGGUCAACCCAUGUGCAUCUAUGGGUAGGUUCAUAACCAGUUGUUUCUCUAAACAACUUCUAGUAAUUGAUUUUGCCCCAAAACCUAAUCAGUAGGCUUUGGCCUCCACUGAAAAGAUCUGGUUAGGUCUAACCAUUAACAUGAUUUGAUUUGGUGAAUCGGACUAAUAAAUGAUCAGGCCCGACUUUGGCCGGCCAACCUGACCACCAUCAGAAAGACUCAAACCAAAUUAUCAUAUUAUGAAUGAUAAUUCCAUUAGUCAAUAAGCACCAGGCCUUUGGGCCUCCAAUGAUUAUUAAACUAAUG